rnacentral:rRNA from 1 species
GAUGAACGCUGACAGAAUGCUUAACACAUGCAAGUCGAUGGGGAAGUGGUGCUUGCACCAUGGCAACCAUGGCGGACGGGUGAGUAACGCGUAAGGGACUUACCUGCAGGACUGGGAUAACAGGGGGAAACUCCUGACAAGACAGGAUAAUGUAAUGGAGCUGCAUGGCUUUAUGAUGAAAAGAGACGCCUGGGGAGAGCCUUGCGUCCUAUUAGCGAGUUGGUGAGGUAAUGGCUCACGAAGGCGAAGAUAGGUGGCCGGCCUGAGAGGGUGGACGGCCACAAGGGGUACGAGAUGCGGCAGUUACGCCUACGGGGGGCAGGAGGGGAGAAUAUUGGACAAGGGGGGCAACACUGAUCCAGCAAUUCUGUGUGCAAGAAGAAGGUUUUCGGAUUGAAAAGUGCUUUCAGCAGGGAAGAAGUAAGUGACGGUACCUGCAGAAGAAGCGACGGCUAAAUACGUG